rnacentral:rRNA from 1 species
GUACACUCCUACGGGAGGCAGCAGUGGGGAAUUUUGGACAAUGGGCGAAAGCCUGAUCCAGCAAUGCCGCGUGAGUGAAGAAGGCCUUCGGGUUGUAAAGCUCUUUUGUCAGGGAAGAAACGGUGAAAGCUAAUAUCUUUUGCUAAUGACGGUACCUGAAGAAUAAGCACCGGCUAACUACGUGCCAGCAGCCGCGGUAAUACGUAGGGUGCAAGCGUUAAUCGGAAUUACUGGGCGUAAAGCGUGCGCAGGCGGUUUUGUAAGUCUGAUGUGAAAUCCCCGGGCUCAACCUGGGAAUUGCAUUGGAGACUGCAAGGCUAGAAUCUGGCAGAGGGGGGUAGAAUUCCACGUGUAGCAGUGAAAUGCGUAGAUAUGUGGAGGAACACCGAUGGCGAAGGCAGCCCCCUGGGUCAAGAUUGACGCUCAUGCACGAAAGCGUGGGGAGCAAACAGGAUUAGAUACCCGUGUAGUCCCAUG